GGCCUACCAAGGCGACGAUCCAUAGCUGGUCUGAGAGGAUGAUCAGCCACAUUGGGACUGAGACACGGCCCAAACUCCUACGGGAGGCAGCAGUGGGGAAUAUUGGACAAUGGGCGCAAGCCUGAUCCAGCCAUGCCGCGUGAGUGAUGAAGGUCUUAGGAUUGUAAAGCUCUUUCACCGGGGACGAUAAUGACGGUACCCGGAGAAGAAGCCCCGGCUAACUUCGUGCCAGCAGCCGCGGUAAUACGAAGGGGGCUAGCGUUGUUCGGAAUUACUGGGCGUAAAGCGCACGUAGGCGGAUAUUUAAGUCAGGGGUGAAAUCCCGGGGCUCAACCCCGGAACUGCCUUUGAUACUGGGUAUCUUGAGUGUGGUAGAGGUGAGUGGAAUUGCGAGUGUAGAGGUGAAAUUCGUAGAUAUUCGCAGGAACACCAGUGGCGAAGGCGGCUCACUGGACCACAACUGACGC
rnacentral:rRNA from 1 species